rnacentral:tRNA from 1 species
GAGAGAUGGCUGAGUGGUCGAAGGCGGCGGUCUCGAAAACCGUUAACGGGUUUACUCGUUCAGGGGUUCGAAUCCCCUUCUCUCC